GAUGAAGAACGUAGCGAAAUGCGAUACUUGGUGUGAAUUGCAGAAUCCCGUGAACCAUCGAGUCUUUGAACGCAAGUUGCGCCCGAAGCCAUUAGGCCGAGGGCACGCCUGCCUGGGCGUCACACGUCGUUGCCCCCCCAUCUACUCCUUCGGGAUUGCGGGGGGCGGAUGAUGGCCUCCCGUGCGCCUCGUCGCGCGGUUGGCAUAAAUGCCAAGUCCUCGGCGACGCACGCCACGACAAUCGGUGGUUGCGAAACCUCGGUUGCCCGUCGUGUGCGGUCGUCGCGCAUCGAGGGCUCGGAAAAAUUGCCGGGCUCCGGCUCGGCUUUCAACGCGACCCCAGGUCAGGCGGGGUUACCCGCUGAAUUUAAGCAUAUCAAUAAGCGGAGGA
rnacentral:misc_RNA from 1 species